rnacentral:sRNA from 2 species
ACAACUUCACGCUCUUCCUCAUCUCGCUGCCACCCUCUGCAACCCGCGCGAUUCUCCUUGUGUUUCUGUUUCUAGUUGUCUUGUGCGGAGCUCUGUGUCCAUCGUCACCCCCUUCCAGUAAUUCGACUUCCUUUUUCCUCAUAUAACACCCUCUUGACGCUCAGUAGUCAUGGCUCCUCCAACUUCUGAGACGGCUUCUCCCAUUGGAAUUGCCAAUCUUCCAAAUCAACGGCACAAAAUCGUUGCCAAACGGGGAGCUGCCUUUACUAUUAUGGUUGCUGGGGAAUCUGGAUUGGGCAAAACGACAUUCAUUAACACGCUUUUCUCGACCACAAUCAAGAACUAUGCCGACCACAAGCGCCGACAUGCCAAGCAGGUUGAUAAAACCGUAGAGAUUGAGAUUACAAAAGCUGAACUCGAGGAGAAGUUCUUCAAAGUUCGCUUGACGGUCAUUGAUACCCCCGGAUUCGGCGAUUAUGUGAACAACCGCGACUCGUGGAUGCCUAUCAUCGAGUUCCUUGAUGACCAGCACGAAUCCUACAUGCUUCAGGAGCAACAGCCUCGUCGUGUUGAUAAGAUUGACCUCCGUGUCCACGCUUGCUUGUACUUCAUCAGGCCAACCGGUCAUACCCUGAAGCCUCUGGAUAUCGAAGUCAUGAAACGUCUGAGCUCGCGUGUCAAUCUGAUCCCAGUGGUUGCUAAAGCCGAUACAUUGAGCCCAUCUGACCUUGCCCGCUUCAAGCAACGCAUCCGCGCCGUUAUCGAGGCCCAGGGCAUCAAAAUUUACCAGCCGCCUGUUGAGGAGGAUGAUGAGCACGCCGCACAGCAUGCUCGUAGUCUGAUGGCUGCCAUGCCAUUCUCCGUCAUUGGUUCCGAGAAAGACGUCAAGACCAGUGAUGGCCGCAUCGUUAAGGGUCGCCAGUAUGCUUGGGGUGUAGCUGAGGUUGAGAAUGAGGAGCACUGUGAUUUCAAAAAAUUACGCUCCAUUCUCAUUCGUACCCACAUGCUUGAUCUCAUUCACACCACUGAAGAAUCCCACUACGAGGCCUAUCGCGCCUUGCAAAUGGAGACGAGAAAGUUCGGCGAGGCCCGCCCCAGAAAGCUCGACAACCCCAAGUUCAAGGAGGAAGAAGAGAACCUCAGAAAGCGCUUCACCGAACAAGUCAAGGUCGAAGAACAGAGGUUCAGACAGUGGGAGCAGAGACUCAUCUCCGAGAGAGAUCGUCUCAACAAGGAUCUGGAAAGCACUCAUGCUGCGUAUGUUUUUUUAAUCCUUCCCCAGUAUACAUGGCUACGUCGUCAAACAACUCGAACAGGAACUCGAGCAGAUGCAAGGCUCCGCUGUCCGCAGCCAUGGCCGGCGUUAAUCUUGGAUAGGUAUAUUGAUGUUUGCCGUUUGGUUGCGAUGGAGGUAGAUGGAGGUAGAUGGCUGUCCGUUUCGAAUAUAGGCUUUAACACGUCUGAGCCCUAAAAUUAUCGACCUAUCAAAUCCCGGUUUUAUUUGCGACCUUUUGGGGGUUUGUUUUCUUUUUCGAACCCCUUAUCCUUUAAUCAUUUUAUUCGUGUUUCUUUUUCUGUUUUUCUCCCACAUUCGACUGAUACCUAGCGUAUUUUCUACCUCCAAGACCCGAAAUAGUUUCGUUUGUUAUACGUAGCGAUUUUUUUUGUUACUUUAUUAUUUGAAAUAUCCAACUUUAAUUCUACAACUUUUUUUCCCCUUUGUAUGAUUCAAUUUCGAGAUCUCCAAAUCAAAUAAAAACCACUGGGUUCGUCGAAUUUAGUUUCCCGUGUCUGGUUUGUUAUAAAUAAAUUAAAUAAGCUCCAACCAGU